AAUACGUCUUCGUUCUCCAUACACUACAGCACCUGACAAAGAGCUGGCAUCUAUCUGCAGGGUGAGUCAUUGAAGAAUUCUGUUUAGAUAAGCCAGGAGAAAAGUACAUCCAAGGGAGGAAGGGCCACCCAAAGUGCCUCACAUCAGCUUCAUCUCUCAGAAAAGAGCCAUUCCACAUGGCAGAAGACAAUGUGAGCAGGAGCUGAAUUUGUGACCCCUGUACAAGGAGGAAGUCAAAAGAUCCGUGUCACCAACACAAAUGCAAACUGAUCCAUUGGUUAUAUAAGAUCCCUUCUAUUUGCACU